ensembl:lncRNA
CCCCGCCCCGCCGGCCGCGCGCGCCGUCCCGGAAACCGCUUCUCAACCCCGGUAGCGCGGGCGUGGCCCCCGUUGCUUCUCCCGCCGCGACAUCCCGGUCAGCUCAGGAUUUUUCAAUUCUCCUCGCCUCCGUUCCCAUUUCCCUGCGGCGCUGCUGCCUCGGCCCCCGCCCUACUGAGGGUCAGAGCCCAGGUGUGGAGAAGCUUUACCGGAUUCAUCCUUGCAAUCUGGGUCACGAGCCAAGGCUUAAGCUACCCUUUGAGAGGGCCCCGGAAAAUUGGAUUCUCCUGACACUGCUUCUGUGACCUUAGGCCUGCCUGCAGCCCUGGGUGGACCUUAUCAGCCACCUGGCUCCAGUCCUUUCAGAAUUGGCCCACCCGAGGACACUCCACUCCUUGCCCACUGAUUCCUAAUGUGGCGUCUCCACUCCCACUCAAACCCAGAGCCUCCACCAUUCAGGUCUGAGAACAGCGCCAGGCUGAAUUAGCGGGAGGAGAUAUCAGCCCUCUUCUGGGCUCUGAGCUACAUCAUCCACCUGCAACUUAAAGACUCUGCUUAGAGUCACAAAGCUUCCCCUUCAUCCUCUCCCUUCAAUUUCCA